rnacentral:rRNA from 1 species
UACGUAGGGUGCGAGCGUUAAUCGGAGUUACUGGGCGUAAAGGGUGCGCAGGCGGUUCUGCAAGUCAGGCGUGAAAGCCCCGGGCUUAACCUGGGAAUGGCGCUUGAAACUACGGGACUGGAGUAUGGCAGAGGGAGGUGGAAUUCCACGUGUAGCGGUGAAAUGCGUAGAGAUGUGGAGGAACACCGAUGGCGAAGGCAGCCUCCUGGGCCAAUACUGACGCUCAUGCACGAAAGCGUGGGGAGCAAACAGG